rnacentral:rRNA from 1 species
GUGAUGAAAGCAUGGCCUAUCGACCCUUUAGUCCUUUCGAAGUUGAAGCUAGAGGUGUCAGAAAAGUUACCACAGGGAUAACUGGCUUGUGGCAGCCAAGCGUUCAUAGCGACGUUGCUUUUUGAUUCUUCGAUGUCGGCUCUUCCUAUCAUUAUGUCGCAGAAGUCACCAAGCGUAGGAUUGUUCACCCACUAAC